rnacentral:rRNA from 1 species
CCUACGGGUGGCAGCAGUGGGGAAUAUUGGACAAUGGGCGAAAGCCUGAUCCAGCCAUGCCGCGUGUGUGAAGAAGGCCUUCGGGUUGUAAAGCACUUUCAGUGGGGAAGAAAGCCUUGGGGCUAAUACCCUCGAGGAAGGACAUCACCCACAGAAGAAGCACCGGCUAACUCCGUGCCAGCAGCCGCGGUAAUACGGAGGGUGCGAGCGUUAAUCGGAAUUACUGGGCGUAAAGCGCGCGUAGGCGGUCUGAUAAGCCGGUUGUGAAAGCCCCGGGCUCAACCUGGGAACGGCAUCCGGAACUGUCAGGCUAGAGUGCAGGAGAGGAAGGUCGAAUUCCCGGUGUAGCGGUGAAAUGCGUAGAGAUCGGGAGGAAUACCAGUGGCGAAGGCGGCCUUCUGGACUGACACUGACGCUGAGGUGCGAAAGCGUGGGUAGCAAACAGGAUUAGAUACCCCGGUAGUC